rnacentral:misc_RNA from 1 species
AAAAAGAUAAAAAGAUCAUUUGAUUCUCUAACUAAUUAUCCUCUUUGUUUGUUAACGGUUCAAAUCAAAAUUGGGUCUCUUACUCAUUUACUCUUCUUUCACAAAGGCAUCCGAGCAGAAAAGUUUUUCUAUUAUCACAAGUCUUGUGAUGUAUGAUGUAAAUGAUACAUGAGCAGCUUUGAGCAAGGAGUACUCUUACUCAUUUGAAUGAUUCCCAAUACAUAUCAUUACUCUUACUAAGAACAUACAAAGUCUUCCUUUCAAGAUACAGGAAAUUCCGGGGCCUAGAUAAGACUUUGUCAUACCCUUUCGCCUUUUUAAUUGACAUAGACCCCUGUUUUCUAGUAAAAUGAGUAGAUGAUACGUA